rnacentral:rRNA from 1 species
UGGAGAGUUUGAUCCUGGCUCAGAACGAACGCUGGCGGCAGGCUUAACACAUGCAAGUCGAACGCCCCGCAAGGGGAGUGGCAGACGGGUGAGUAACGCGUGGGAAUCUACCGUGCCCUGCGGAAUAGCUCUGGGAAACUGGAAUUAAUACCGCAUACGCCCUACGGGGGAAAGAUUUAUCGGGGUAUGAUGAGCCCGCGUUGGAUUAGCUAGUUGGUGGGGUAAUGGCCUACCAAGGCGACGAUCCAUAGCUGGUCUGAGAGGAUGAUCAGCCACAUUGGGACUGAGACACGGCCCAAACUCCUACGGGAGGCAGCAGUGGGGAAUAUUGGACAAUGGGCGCAAGCCUGAUCCAGCCAUGCCGCGUGAGUGAUGAAGGCCUUAGGGUUGUAAAGCUCUUUCACCGGAGAAGAUAAUGACGGUAUCCGGAGAAGAAGCCCCGGCUAACUUCGUGCCAGCAGCCGCGGUA